rnacentral:rRNA from 1 species
UGGAUCCAGACUUUGAUUCUGGCUCAGGACGAACGCUGGCGGCGUGCCUAACACAUGCAAGUCGAACGGAGCUCCGCCCUUCGGGACGGAACUUAGUGGCGAACGGGUGAGUAACGCGUGAAGAACCUGCCUUCCAGUGGGGGACAACAGUUGGAAACGACUGCUAAUACCGCAUGAUACUUUUGAGGGGCAUCCCUUGAAAGUCAAAGCUUUAAGUGCUGGAAGAUGGCUUCGCGUCUGAUUAGCUAGUUGGUGGGGUAACGGCCCACCAAGGCGACGAUCAGUAGCCGGUCUGAGAGGAUGAACGGCCACAUUGGGACUGAGAUACGGCCCAGACUCCUACGGGAGGCAGCAGUGGGGAAUAUUGGGCAAUGGGCGAAAGCCUGACCCAGCAACGCCGCGUGGAGGAAGAAGGCCUUCGGGUUGUAAACUUCUUUUACCAGGGACGAAGGACGUGACGGUACCUGGAGAAAAAGCAACGGCUAACUACGUGCCAGCAGCCGCGGUAAUACGUAGGUUGCAAGCGUUGUCCGGAUUUACUGGGCGUAAAGGGCGUGUAGGCGGAGGCGCAAGUUGGGAGUGAAAUCUAUGGGCUCAACCCAUAAACUGCUCUCAAAACUGUGUCCCUUGAGUAUCGGAGAGGCAAGCGGAAUUCCUAGUGUAGCGGUGAAAUGCGUAGAUAUUAGGAGGAACACCAGUGGCGAAGGCGGCUUGCUGGACGACAACUGACGCUGAGGCGCGAAAGCGUGGGGAGCAAACAGGAUUAGAUACCCUGGUAGUCCACGCUGUAAACGAUGAAUACUAGGUGUGGGAGGACUGACCCCUUCCGUGCCGCAGUUAACACAAUAAGUAUUCCACCUGGGGAGUACGACCGCAAGGUUGCAACUCAAAUGAAUUGACGGA